rnacentral:lncRNA from 1 species
AGAAGAAAAUCAUUAGAAAGUAAACAAAUAAACAAAAAAAAAUAGUCUUCAGCUUCCUCAACAUUAACAUGAAAUAUCCUACUAGAUAUUAGACCUUAUAAAGGAGCCUUAUUCCUGAAAAUUAAUAAGCAGAUCAUUUACACAGGCAAUGCCUACAAUUUUAAUUCUCUAUAGGAUUCUGGAGGGUCAUGAACAAGAUGACUUUAUGGUCUAUAUAGAAUGAAUGUAAUAGCUAGUACCAUGGGGUCAUGUGAAGGGUCAUCAGGUCAAUAGGAUAGCCCAAAUGACUAGCCCCACCUAUGCUGCAUUCUAUCCGGUCUUCUAAUUCUGAAGUGAUGCAGAGUUUAUUUUUGUAAUAUAUUACUAUUUGUUGAGCCUUUACUCUGCUGACAACAGCCCAGUGAUAGUUGAAGUUAGUAAGAGCCACGAGUGGUGAAGAGCUAACACAGUUGGAAAGCUAGUAGGUGCUGCACAAUUUGUAAUGGUUGGUUAAAUUUAUAUUUAUACAUUUGGCUGUUCAUUUAUUUCCAUGUAGUUUUCAAUUUCCAUGAUAUUAGUUGAUAUUACUGGUGCACUUAAAUGUGUGCAAACUGAAGAUGCACAUAAUUUGAAGAGUAGUCUGGUCCUUAUGGUUGGAACACAAAAUAUCAUUAACUCUCACUUAAUCAGUAUGUAUAAAAAGGUACAGUGCCUGAAUAGCACGAGUCAAUACUUUUCUGUGCCCCUUUCUUUUGUGAAAAGUGUUAUUGGUCACAGAACACAUAAAGCUGAAAUUCCGAAAAUGUUCCUGUCAACCCAAUCUUAGUAUUCAUUAAUGAAGUCAGAGUCAUCCUUGCUUGUUUUGAAAAUGAAUCCCUGCACAAGUUCUCUGUGAUGGUGACCUUCCCUAUAGUUAAUUUUAAGCACUCAAUGCUGUAAACAUUAACAGCAACAACAAAACAACUGCAAUGCUUUCUACAAUAGUAUCAGCUCAAAGAAGAUAAUCCUCUGAGAUUGGAUCUAAUCAAGAACUAAGGUGUUCAAAAGUUACUAGAAUUACAAAAUCCUUAAUAGACAUUAUAGAGGACUGAGAAACAUACCAGAGAGUCAAAUGGUUAAAAAAGAAAGGGGGAGAAUGACUACCUUACCCGACAGGAACCAUUCUUGACUGUAUGGAGGAUUAAAUGCAUCAGGAAUGACUGAAAUAUUCAAUGAAGAUAAUAAUAAUUGACCCUAAAAUGGAUAGAAUUGGAACCAAUUGAACAGAAGUUGGAGAACUCAAAAAAAAAAAAAUAGUGCUUCUUCAGGAACAGGACUUCUACUCACAGUCUUCUUCCUCUAGAAUCAAUUAGAUUGAAGACAGCUGGAAGAGGCAGAGAUUCUAGGAGGGCAUGAACAGAAAGGUGUCAAUGUCUUUGUUCUUGUUCCUAUGUGAAUGCAGAGAAAAGACCCUUGUCCUGAAAAGGAUGCAAUAUGUCUUGUUUCACAUCUCUCUGAAGGGCAGCUUCCUCACAGUUUAUUUCCCUCAACACAUCUUUUGAUAUCUAUCAGCAUGUGACAGAGUUACUGUUUUUUUUUCUUGACCCUGUUCAAUGUCUCCUUUCUCCU